rnacentral:rRNA from 1 species
AUUGAACGCUGGCGGCAGGCCUAACACAUGCAAGUCGAGCGGCAGCGGGAAAGUAGCUUGCUACUUUUGCCGGCGAGCGGCGGACGGGUGAGUAAUGCCUGGGGAUCUGCCCAGUCGAGGGGGAUAACUACUGGAAACGGUAGCUAAUACCGCAUACGCCCUACGGGGGAAAGCAGGGGACCUUCGGGCCUUGCGCGAUUGGAUGAACCCAGGUGGGAUUAGCUAGUUGGUGAGGUAAUGGCUCACCAAGGCGACGAUCCCUAGCUGGUCUGAGAGGAUGAUCAGCCACACUGGAACUGAGACACGGUCCAGACUCCUACGGGAGGCAGCAGUGGGGAAUAUUGCACAAUGGGGGAAACCCUGAUGCAGCCAUGCCGCGUGUGUGAAGAAGGCCUUCAGGUUGUAAAGCGCUUUCAGCGAGGAGGAAAGGUUGGUAGCUAAUAACCGCCAGCUGUGACGUUACUCGCAGAAGAAGCACCGGCUAACUCCGUGCCAGCCGCCGCUGUAACAC